rnacentral:RNase_P_RNA from 3 species
AAUGCAAAUCGCUCUAUCGCUGUUUCGAUUUAUCGGAAGAGAGGAAAGUCCGGGCAACACAGGGCAGCUUGCUUCCUAACGGGAAGGCAUCUUGUAAUAAAGGUGACAGAAAGUACUACAGAAAAUAAACUACCCCGAGUAAUUGGGGAAAAGGUGAAAACGUGAGGUAAGAGCUCACGACUUUGUAUGGCGACAUGCAUCGUGGUAAACCUCAGGCGUUGAAAGACCAAAUAAAUCCCGAACGUCAAGGCGGCCCGUCUUGCUGUUUUUAGAAACUAUCGGGAAGGGUAGGUCGUUAGAUCAUAACAGCAAUGUUAUGGCAAGAUAAAUGAUAGAGGAAUCCUGUAGAAAUACAGGAUUACAGAACCCGGCUUAUAAAUUUGCAUUUAUU